rnacentral:lncRNA from 1 species
AUGUCAGUCGAAGAGGCUGGCAACGUCAGAAAUGCGGUGCCAGCAGGGCCCUCUCGAAAGGGCGGCGGGCGGGCGUGCAGUCCAAGGCUUCGGCCUCCAGGCUUUCUCCAAGGAUCAAAGUUCCCAGCCCCGGUUCUCCGUGGGCACAGCCACAGCCACGGCCACAGCCACAGCCACACACACACACACACACACGCGCGCGCGCGCGCACACUCGGCCUCGGGGUCCGCCACACAGCCCUCGCCCUCCCGGGUGCGCGGCGCGGCGCGGCGAGGCAGGCCGACCCCGGGAGGCGGCCCGUCUGCAAGGGGACCAGGGCAGGGCCCCCGCGGCCUCGCCAGGUCGGCGGAUUCCACCGCCCGAGAGUUUGGCGGCUUCACAAUGGGGCCGCCCGCCUGGCCCCCGGCCCCAAGCCCGCCCGGCGCUCUCCCCCCGCCCCAAGCCCGCCCGCGACAGGUGGGGGGGACGCCCGGCGGCCAGUCCGCGCCCCCCCCGCCCCCCCCCCCGGCACCGGCCCGGCCGCCCCCCCGCGCGCCCCCGCAGUCCCCCCCCCGCCGCACGCUCCCCCGCCGCACACUCACCCGCUGCACACUCACGGCGCCGGCCCCACCCCUGGGCCGAGCAGCCGCGGCUCCCCGCACCCCGCUCCCCGCACCGGCCCCACCCAGCUCCCCACACCCCGGCGUCCCGCCCGCCCGGCGCCCCGGGACCUGCCCGCCGAGCCCCGGGCCGAGGCCGCCCCGCCCCCGCCCCCCGCGCGCCGCCGCCGACACGAGGCAGGGAGGAAGGGGCGGCGCCGCGACCCGCCGGGCACCCGCGCCCCGCAGCCCGCCCGCCGCCCGCCGCCCGCCGCCCGCCGCCCGCCGCCUUCCCUGCGGCACAAAAGGCUGCAGGCGGCCCCGCCGGCCCCGCGCGACCUACCGGCGGCCCACGGCUCCGCCGCCGCGCCGGGCCCGGGCCUCGGACCGACCCCGGGCGGAGGGAGGCGCGCCGGGGCCGCGGCGCACGGAUCCGGCACAGGCCGCCGGGCGCGCCAGCCGCGGACCCGCUCCUCGCCCGCCGCGCUCGCCGCCAGCGGCCGCCCGGCCUCGCCUCGCCCCGCCCCUCCGCGCCCCCCGCGCCCCCGCCCCCCCGCGCUCCGCCCUCCCCUCCCCCUCCGCGCUCCGCCCUCCGCCCUCCGCGCGCCUCCCCGCGCCCCGCCCCCGCGCCCGCGCCCCGCGCCCCGCCCUCCACGCUCCACCCCGCCCCCCACCGCCCUCCGCCUCCCUCCUCCCCCCACCGCCGCCACGCUCCGCCCUCACCCCCCCCGCUUUCCUCCGCGCUCCGCCUUCCUCCCUCCGCUCAGCGCGCUCCGCUCCCCGCGCUCCGCCCUCCCCCUCCCCUCCCUCCACGCUCCGCCUCCUCCUCCCCUUCCUCCUCCCUCCGCCUCCUCCCCCUCCUCCUCCCUCCCCCUCCCCCCUCCUCCCUCCGCCCUCCCCCCUGGGCCGCACCCCGUCAGCCGUCAGCAGCGAGCCCGCCUCCGCGCGCCGCCGCCCAGACACCCCGACGCAGGGGGCGGCGAGGGAAGGGCGCUCGGAGGCCUCAAGGGGCGGCGGGCGGGGCGGGCGGGUUGGGGGCAGGGGUCCGACACCCCGAGGCCUGGCGGCUGCGCUGCUCCUGUGCUGCGAGGCUCGGCCUCAGGGCCUGGGCGCCAGCACCCUAGCCGGGCCGGAGCCCCAAUCAUUAUAG